ensembl:lncRNA
UCAUACUGUCCCCCUCACCCCAACACUGAUUGUCACCCUGGAGGUGACAAGGGGCCACCCUAUACUCUGGGUGCGCACUGGCCAGGCCUCAGCGCAGUGACCCAUUGCGACCAGAUGCUGCUGGGUUUGGGGAAGUCCCUGCAUCCCAUCUCUGCCCUUUUACCUUUCUGCCCUCCCCACAGGUCCCGCAGCCCCAAAAACAAGAGGAAAGAGAAAAACAAAGAGCGCAAGAGGUCCCGCAGUGCAUCGCCAGCCUGGCGGUCACACCGGCGCAGCAGCUGCAGCUCGCACAGCGCUUCGCUCUCCUCCGACUACAGCAACUCCAAAUCCCCCAGCAGGCUAAGCCCCAAGCAUCGUGAGGAUGGCCCCAAGGGCAACAGCGCCCGCUCCAGCCGCAGCCCGUCCUCCUCCUCACCGCGCCGUUCGGCCUCACCGCACCAGAACGGGCACAAGGGCAGCGCCCAGAAUGGCCGCCACAGCCAUGGCCCUGCACUCGAGGAGCCAACGGAUGUACGUAGGCUUUUCUUGCACCAUGGUUUGCUGCCCUCUUCUCCUCUUCCUUCUCCCUUCGCAGGAAUCCCUCACCCUGGCUCUCCUCUUCCCUCCUUUCCCAUCUCAAUGACGGACAGACUGAUGGGGACACAGUGCUGGUGUCCCUGUCCCUGUGUAGACAUGUUCCCCCAACCCUGGGGUGCUGGUCCAUCUCCUCUGGGCAGGAUCCCCAGCACCAGGUCCCCCUUUAUGGCCACUCUGUGGAUGUCACACCCUGAGGUGUUCUCUGUGGCUCAGCAGGGCCACGGUUGGGAGUGGAGUACUCACAGAUGGCCAAAAAGUGGGUAAAAAUGGAAGUGUUAUUUCUAUGCCACCUGCAGCCCAUCCAAGUGCAGGUCUCCAGCACCAUUCUGUGUGCCCAAACUGGGGACUGCUGUAAGGCCAGGAGAGGUCAUGGAGUGGGGCUUGGGGCUGAGUGCUAAGAUUUUGGGCAUCCAGGGUCUCCAUGAUGGGUGAUAGCGGGUCCAAUUGUCCCCAGCAAUACCGAGAGUCCCAGCAAAACCCAGCUGUGCUGGGGGCUUGUCCCCACAAUGGGAUGAGGGGACCAGCCCCAGUUUAACGAGUAAUGGAGCACCUCUCUACCUUCUUCUUUGCUGUUUGGAGUCUGGGUGCCAAAGAGCCCCCACCCCAGGCAUCUCGCAUUGCCCAUGAGUUCCCUUGGCUCCCCAGCUCUAGAGGGGACUUUUCUUCGACAACUUUUCUCUCUUUCUCUCUCUCUUUCUCUCUCUGUUUUUGUUUUCUUUGAUUUUUUUUUUCUUUUCUUUUUAAUCCCAUCUGUGUUUUUCUUUAGCCUCCCAUUUGAAAAAAACCCAAACGGUAAUAUACAAUUCCAUUUCUUGCUCAGCAGAAGCAGGGAAGAGGGGGAGGGAAGGGCAAUGAAACCACGCUUUUUUUCCCCCCUUGUUUUAGUUUCCUUUAUCAUGAUUUAUUUUCUUUUCCUUCAUAAUGUACAGAAAUGCAAACAAUAUAUAUAUCUCUUAUUUUAUUUUCCCCUGUCG